rnacentral:rRNA from 1 species
AUGACCAAGGAGCAGCUCCUGGAGUUCGCGUGGGGGCUGGCGAAUAGCGGCAGGCAGUUCAUGUGGAUCAUCCGGCGUGAUCUCGUCAGGGGCGACGCGGCGGUGCUUCCUCCUGAGUUCAUGGCAGAGACGGCAGGCCGCGGGUUCAUGACGUCCUGGUGCCCGCAGCAGGAGGUGCUGAACCACCCGGCUGUAGGCGUGUUCUUGACACACAGCGGCUGGAACUCGACAAUGGAUAGCAUGUGCGGCGGCGUGCCAGUCAUCAGUUGGCCCUUCUUCUCGGACCAGCUUACCAACCGUCGGUACCAAUGCAACGAGUGGGGCGUCGGCAUGGAGAUCGACAACAACGUCCAGCGCAACGCCGUCACAGGCCUUAUCACGGAACUCAUGCAGGGUGAGAGUGGAAAGAAGAUGAGGAAGAGGGCAGAGGAAUGGCGGGAGAAGGCAAUCUUGGCGGCCAAGCCCGGCAGUUCGUCUCACCGCAAUCUCAAAGAGCUCCUCUGUGAUGUAUGCCUAAGAAAUAGUUCAGAUCUUCCAUGUGUAGUUUUUUUAAAGGACUUCCUUGGACGACUGUGA